GGGAGAAGUGAAUAAGACCUGGCACCCAGCUCCCAGGCUCCCACUGCCCUUCCUUAUUGCAGUGGGAUCUAGGCACCCCUGUCAUGGACAAAAUCCUGGUUGUGCUAGGCGCUGUGCAAACAGAAGCAAAAGAUGGUGUUUUUCUUCUCAACCUACCCAAGCCCUAAAAUGUGCUCGUCUGUAAAGAGUGGCAAAAACAAAAAUGAGGGACAGAGCAAAAAUAGCAGAAGAAGAAUCUUAAAGAUGUUAUUUAUCAUAGAUGGCAAUUUUUACUGGAAGGUUUGAGAAAGAAAGGACUCAGCAUACUUUAUGGCUUAUAUGUGGGAACUCGAGAAAAUAUUUACAGCUUGAAAAAAGUUCACUAUGUUCCAAUAUAUUAAUAUUUUUGGCCUUCUAUCAAUUCCAGUACAGUUUUUCUUCUUGCAGUUGCUUUAUAAAACAUUUCAACAACAAAUAAAGCCAACUGGCUCUUUCCACUUAUGUGCUUAAAUAGUUCCCCCACUUUUUGGCUGAAAACU